rnacentral:misc_RNA from 1 species
GUAUUCAUUCUCCAACUUUGGGUAUUUAUACCUAGGGAAGGAGAGAUUUGAGGCGUCGCACUAACCCUGCGUGCUUUUAAAACUAUAGCUGCUGGAUACUGUCAAGUAACGGAAAAGUAUGUGUAUGGGACUUUGUCUCUCUAAUACCUAGUACGGGUGAUGGUGCUCGUCCGGCACUCAACUAUUAAAGUUGACCUUCGGGUUGACUUGAA